GAAGGAUAGUGAGUAUUACAACUCUUUGAAAUGGAUCCUGGAGAAUGACCCUACUGAGCUCGACCUCAUGUUCUGCAUAGAUGAAGAAAACUUUGGACAGACAUAUCAAGUGGAUUUGAAGCCCAAUGGGUCAGAAAUAAUGGUCACAAAUGAAAACAAAAGGGAAUAUAUCGACUUAGUCAUCCAGUGGAGAUUUGUGAACAGGGUCCAGAAGCAGAUGAACGCCUUCUUGGAGGGAUUCACAGAACUACUUCCUAUUGAUUUGAUUAAAAUUUUUGAUGAAAAUGAGCUGGAGUUGCUCAUGUGCGGCCUCGGUGAUGUGGACGUGAAUGACUGGAGACAGCAUUCUAUUUACAAGAAUGGCUACUGCCCAAACCACCCCGUCAUUCAGUGGUUCUGGAAGGUAACUCCGGGGCCCAGCCCUACCCGGUGUCUUCCACCUGAGGCAGGACUGAGGGCUGUGUGGCAACCUCCAUUGUGGUCUGACUUCAGGACUGAUGCUGGCUUUGGGGUCUGUUAGAGCUUGGACUGCUGUGGGAGGGAAGAGGCAAACUGAGCCACAGCCCCGUGGCGGCUCCUCUGUAACUGUAAGAGACAGCUAGACUUGAAUGAAGUUGGUCCCUACAAAAGCACACUGGCCUUCCUUGACCACCUCGUGAAAGUGACUUUUAUUUGAGGGACUGGUCCUCCAAUGUGUAAAUAGAAAUGGGGGGCUUCUCAGGGCAGAAA
rnacentral:sRNA from 1 species